rnacentral:rRNA from 1 species
UACGAAGGGGGCUAGCGUUGCUCGGAAUCACUGGGCGUAAAGCGCACGUAGGCGGGUUGCUAAGUCCAGGGGUGAAAUCCUGGAGCUCAACUCCAGAACUGCCCUUGAUACUGGCGGCCUUGAGUCCGGGAGAGGUGAGUGGAACUGCGAGUGUAGAGGGUGAAAUUCGUAGAUAUUCGCAAGAACACCAGUGGCGAAGGCGGCUCACUGGCCCGAUACUGACGCUGAGGCACGAAAGCGUGGGGAGCAAACAGG